CAGCCACAUCAUGUUGAAACACCAAUUCCUAUAUGAUCACUGAAGUUAAGCAAAAUUGAGCCUGAUCAGUACUUAGAUGGGUAACUGCUUCGGAAUACCAGGUUCUGCAAG